UAUACUUAAGUGUAAGAUGCACAAAGAGUUUUGAUCUCUUUAGUUACGGUUUAAUUCCGUAUGGUAUAA
rnacentral:tRNA from 1 species